AGGUAGAGAAUUGGAAGAGGAAGGCCACAGAGACCUGCUCUUCCAGUAACCAGCUCCUGGCUGCAGAGGAACAACGGAGUACUGCUGCCAAUAUACUAAGACUUAUACAUGACCCCCUGACCAGCCAUAUGGAGAUGGUCACAGAGGUGGUGGUCCCCACUGUGUGUACCCUGUGUAUCCUCCUAUCUGCGGUCUUCCUCAUGUUCCUGCUGCGGAGACACAACUAGAUAUACUACUA